UACGGGGGGAGCAAGCGUUGUUCGGAUUUACUGGGCGUAAAGGGCGCGUAGGCGGUCGUGACAAGUCACUUGUGAAAUCUCCGGGCUUAACUCGGAACGGUCAAGCGAUACUGUCGGACUAGAGUACAGAAGGGGCAACUGGAAUUCUCGGUGUAGCGGUGAAAUGCGUAGAUAUCGAGAGGAACACCUGCGGCGAAGGCGGGUUGCUGGGCUGAUACUGACGCUGAGGCGCGAAAGCCAGGGGAGCGAACGGG
rnacentral:rRNA from 1 species